rfam:Treponema sp. GWC1_61_84 gwc1_scaffold_441, whole genome shotgun sequence.
GCAGCGAAUCCGAUCGUCGCGGCGCGUCCGGGUACGGACGCGUCGAGGAAAGUCCGGGCUCCAUAGGGCAUGAUGCCGGGUAACUCCCGGGCGUGGCGUACUUCCAUAUGUCCCUUCGGGUCAUAAGGAAGUACGUUACGACAGACAGCGCAACAGAAAGCAAACCGCCGGCGCGACGGAUUUUUCGCUACUGCGGAAAAUCCGCAACGUCGGUAAGGGUGAAAGGGUGGGGUAAGAGCCCACCGCGCGUCCGGCGACGGACGUGGCACGGCAAGCCUCAUCAGGAGCAAAGCCGAGCAGCGGGAUGGAUCGCCCGUCCGUUACCCCGCGGGUUGGCUGCGUAGACGUCGCCGGCGACGGCGACGCCAGAUAGAUGACGAUAGCGGCGUUCCGGGCAACCGGGGCGCCGGACAGAACCCGGCUUAUGGAUUCGCUGCCUUU